AUUGCUUCUUGGCCUUUUGGCUAAGAUCAAGUGUAGUAUCAGUUCUUAGCAGUUCCAUAUCUGAUACGUCAUCAAUGAGAGGAUUUCACAUUAAAUGGAUUCUGUGGUUGCCUUAUGUGGUCAGUUACUAAAUUUUAAGUUAAUCACUUCAUGAAAAUGAUUAUAUGAAGACAAAAUAUUUUACAUGGUCCUUA
ensembl:snRNA U2 U2 spliceosomal RNA